UUAAAAAUCCGAUCGCCAUCGGCUAUGAUCUAAACUAUUUGUUUUAGAAUAUCAUGAGCCGAAGGUCGCUUACGUAAGAUUUGUAUCAAAACACUGUGAUUACCAAACCGAUUCAUAGUUCAGUGUAUACAGUGAAUCAAUAAUGAAGUACCUCAUCCUACUUUUGGCGAUAGUGACUUUCUGUCACGUAGUGAGUGCACGUCAUGUGUGCGACUCUAGGCCGCACGAAUGCGACUGUAGGGGAAAAGGAAGACCCUUCUGGACUGGAACGGCGGAAUCCUGUAGAUUCUCCUGUCGACAGGGAGACAUACUUUUCACCUGCCGUCAAAUUGCGCAGUUGUACUCGUAUUAUUAAGUAUAAUUACACUACUUUUUCUAAGUUUAUAAAAUAAAGAUCGAAAUAUAAAUUG